rnacentral:tRNA from 1 species
GGGCGCGUAGCUCACCGGUAGAGCAUCCCCUUCACACGGGGAGGGUAGGAGGUUCGAUCCCUCCCGCGCCCACCA